rnacentral:rRNA from 1 species
GACGAACGUUGGCGGCGUGCUUAACACAUGCGAGUCGAACGGAAAGGCCCUGCUUUUGUGGGGUGCUCGAGUGGCGAACGGGUGAGUAACACGUGAGUAACCUGCCCUUGACUUUGGGAUAACUUCAGGAAACUGGGGCUAAUACCGGAUAGGAGCUCCUGCUGCAUGGUGGGGGUUGGAAAGUUUCGGCGGUUGGGGAUGGACUCGCGGCUUAUCAGCUUGUUGGUGGGGUAGUGGCUUACCAAGGCUUUGACGGGUAGCCGGCCUGAGAGGGUGGCCGGCCACAUUGGGACUGAGAUACGGCCCAGACUCCUACGGGAGGCAGCAGUGGGGAAUAUUGCACAAUGGGCGGAAGCCUGAUGCAGCAACGCCGCGUGCGGGAUGACGGCCUUCGGGUUGUAAACCGCUUUCGCCUGUGACGAAGCGUGAGUGACGGUAAUGGGUAAAGAAGCACCGGCUAACUACGUG